rnacentral:rRNA from 1 species
CCUACGGGUGGCUGCAGUGGGGAAUAUUGCACAAUGGGGGAAACCCUGAUGCAGCGACGCCGCGUGAGUGAAGAAGUAUUUCGGUAUGUAAAGCUCUAUCAGCAGGGAAGAAAAUGACGGUACCUGAUUAAGAAGCCCCGGCUAACUACGUGCCAGCAGCCGCGGUAAUACGUAGGGGGCAAGCGUUAUCCGGAUUUACUGGGUGUAAAGGGAGCGUAGACGGUGAUGCAAGUCAGAAGUGAAAGCCCGGGGCUCAACUCCGGGACUGCUUUUGAAACUGUGUGACUGGAGUGCAGGAGAGGCAGACGGAAUUCCUAGUGUAGCGGUGAAAUGCGUAGAUAUUAGGAGGAACACCAGUGGCGAAGGCGGUCUGCUGGACAGCAACUGACGCUGAGGCGCGAAAGCGUGGGGAGCAAACAGGAUUAGAUACCCCUGUAGUC